rnacentral:snRNA from 1 species
GCAUUGUUUAGCAGUACAUAUAUUAAAAUUGGAAAGAUACAGCAAGAUUAGCACAGUCCCUGUUGCAAUGAUGACACACAAAUUCAUGAAGCAUUCCAUAUUAAG